rnacentral:rRNA from 1 species
GGGUUGUGAGGUUAAGCGACUAAGCGUACACGGUGGAUGCCCUGGCAGUCAGAGGCGAUGAAGGACGUGCUAAUCUGCGAAAAGCGCCGGCGAGGUGAUAUGAACCCUUGACCCGGCGAUGUCCGAAUGGGGAAACCCAGUGCAAUUCGUUGCACUAUCGUUAACUGAAUACAUAGGUUAACGAGGCGAACCGGGGGAACUGAAACAUCUAAGUACCCCGAGGAAAAGAAAUCAACCGAGAUUCCCCCAGUAGCGGCGAGCGAACGGGGAGCAGCCCAGAGUCUGAAUCAGCUUGUGUGUUAGUGGAAGCGUCUGGAAAGUCGCACGGUACAGGGUGACAGUCCCGUACACGAAAACAUACAGGCUGUGAACUCGAAGAGUAGGGCGGGACACGUGGUAUCCUGUCUGAAUAUGGGGGGACCAUCCUCCAAGGCUAAAUACUCCUGACUGACCGAUAGUGAACCAGUACCGUGAGGGAAAGGCGAAAAGAACCCCGGCGAGGGGAGUGAAAAAGAACCUGAAACCGUGUACGUACAAGCAGUGGGAGCACCUUCGGGUGUGACUGCGUACCUUUUGUAUAAUGGGUCAGCGACUUAUAUUCUGUAGCAAGGUUAACCGUAUAGGGGAGCCGAAGGGAAACCGAGUCUUAACUGGGCGUUAAGUUGCAGGGUAUAGACCCGAAACCCGGUGAUCUAGCCAUGGGCAGGUUGAAGGUUGGGUAACACUAACUGGAGGACCGAACCGACUAAUGUUGAAAAAUUAGCGGAUGACUUGUGGCUGGGGGUGAAAGGCCAAUCAAACCGGGAGAUAGCUGGUUCUCCCCGAAAGCUAUUUAGGUAGCGCCUCGUGAACUCAUCUUCGGGGGUAGAGCACUGUUUCGGCUAGGGGGCCAUCCCGGCUUACCAACCCGAUGCAAACUACGAAUACCGAAGAAUGUUAUCACGGGAGACACACGGCGGGUGCUAACGUCCGUCGUGAAGAGGGAAACAACCCAGACCGCCAGCUAAGGUCCCAAAGUCAUGGUUAAGUGGGAAACGAUGUGGGAAGGCCCAGACAGCCAGGAUGUUGGCUUAGAAGCAGCCAUCAUUUAAAGAAAGCGUAAUAGCUCACUGGUCGAGUCGGCCUGCGCGGAAGAUGUAACGGGGCUAAACCAUGCACCGAAGCUGCGGCAGCGACACUAUGUGUUGUUGGGUAGGGGAGCGUUCUGUAAGCCGUUGAAGGUGGCCUGUGAGGGUUGCUGGAGGUAUCAGAAGUGCGAAUGCUGACAUAAGUAACGAUAAAGCGGGUGAAAAGCCCGCUCGCCGGAAGACCAAGGGUUCCUGUCCAACGUUAAUCGGGGCAGGGUGAGUCGACCCCUAAGGCGAGGCCGAAAGGCGUAGUCGAUGGGAAACAGGUUAAUAUUCCUGUACUUGGUGUUACUGCGAAGGGGGGACGGAGAAGGCUAUGUUAGCCGGGCGACGGUUGUCCCGGUUUAAGCAUGUAGGCGGAGGUUCCAGGUAAAUCCGGUACCUUUUUAACGCUGAGGUGUGAUGACGAGGCACUACGGUGCUGAAGUAACAAAUGCCCUGCUUCCAGGAAAAGCCUCUAAGCAUCAGGUAACAUCAAAUCGUACCCCAAACCGACACAGGUGGUCAGGUAGAGAAUACCAAGGCGCUUGAGAGAACUCGGGUGAAGGAACUAGGCAAAAUGGUGCCGUAACUUCGGGAGAAGGCACGCUGAUAUGUAGGUGAAGCCCCUGCGGGUGGAGCUGAAAUCAGUCGAAGAUACCAGCUGGCUGCAACUGUUUAUUAAAAACACAGCACUGUGCAAACACGAAAGUGGACGUAUACGGUGUGACGCCUGCCCGGUGCCGGAAGGUUAAUUGAUGGGGUUAGCGGCAACGCGAAGCUCUUGAUCGAAGCCCCGGUAAACGGCGGCCGUAACUAUAACGGUCCUAAGGUAGCGAAAUUCCUUGUCGGGUAAGUUCCGACCUGCACGAAUGGCGUAAUGAUGGCCAGGCUGUCUCCACCCGAGACUCAGUGAAAUUGAACUCGCUGUGAAGAUGCAGUGUACCCGCGGCAAGACGGAAAGACCCCGUGAACCUUUACUAUAGCUUGACACUGAACACUGGUCCUUGAUGUGUAGGAUAGGUGGGAGGCUUUGAAGCGUGGACGCCAGUCUGCGUGGAGCCAACCUUGAAAUACCACCCUUUAAUGGCUGGUGUUCUAACGUAGACCCGUGAUCCGGGUUGCGGACAGUGUCUGGUGGGUAGUUUGACUGGGGCGGUCUCCUCCCAAAGAGUAACGGAGGAGCACGAAGGUUAGCUAAUCCUGGUCGGACAUCAGGAGGUUAGUGCAAUGGCAUAAGCUAGCUUGACUGCGAGAGUGACGGCUCGAGCAGGUGCGAAAGCAGGUCAUAGUGAUCCGGUGGUUCUGAAUGGAAGGGCCAUCGCUCAACGGAUAAAAGGUACUCCGGGGAUAACAGGCUGAUACCGCCCAAGAGUUCAUAUCGACGGCGGUGUUUGGCACCUCGAUGUCGGCUCAUCACAUCCUGGGGCUGAAGUAGGUCCCAAGGGUAUGGCUGUUCGCCAUUUAAAGUGGUACGCGAGCUGGGUUUAGAACGUCGUGAGACAGUUCGGUCCCUAUCUGCCGUGGGCGCUGGAGAAUUGAGGGGGGCUGCUCCUAGUACGAGAGGACCGGAGUGGACGCAUCACUGGUGUUCGGGUUGUCAUGCCAAUGGCACUGCCCGGUAGCUAAAUGCGGAAGAGAUAAGUGCUGAAAGCAUCUAAGCACGAAACUUGCCCCGAGAUGAGUUCUCCCUGAGACUUAAAGUCUCCUGAAGGAACGUUGAAGACGACGACGUUGAUAGGUCGGGUGUGUAAGCGCAGCGAUGCGUUGAGCUAACCGAUACUAAUGAACCGUGAGGCUUAACCUUACAACGCCGAAG